CAAGCUGGAGCAGCUCAUCCCCAGACGGCAGCAGCACAACCGCGGCGCGAAGGGCAACGCGAACUUCAGUUUCAACGCGGAUGAGGAUCAGGCGGAGGACGGAGAUGCGCAGGGAAACUUCCCGCUCGGGGCCGCGAGCGGAUC
rnacentral:SRP_RNA from 1 species